rnacentral:lncRNA from 1 species
CUCCUACGUUGGUGGCCUCCUAGCUUCAGGAAUUGUGGUUCAGGCAUGGAGCCCAAAAGGCAAUGGAUUCCAGAGCUCAAAUGCAUGGCAGCAGGAAGCUAUGACCUGAGCCUAGCCCCAGGUGAUGCUGUCAAGCUCUUACAAAGACAGAGCUAUACCUGCCUGUCCCGCAGGUGUGAGCUGUAAUUCUGUUUCGUGGACAUCGUUUUCACCACCAUUUUCCCCUUCCAGUUUGAAGAGGUGUUUCUGGAAUGGAGCUGGGAUCGAUACUAUGUUUUGUUCAAUUCUAGAGACUAUAUUGCUGGGAGGUCUCUUCAGAAUCAAUAACUGAUGCAUGAUGUUACAGAAUCUUGCAUGAAACCACCAUUCAAAGUACAAGAAAGACAAAUGGAUUUUAAUGUAAAAGCACCAGAAGUUCAGUAAUAUGGUUUCAGAUUCCACCUUGCAACUAAUCUAAAGAAGCUACUACUUAUUUUGAGGAGGUAUCAGAGAAGAAUAUAUACUAUUUGCUGAAAAGGAUACUAAAGUACUCCUCCCCUUUUCAACUAUACAUCUGUGUGAGCAAAGGUUUUGUCUAUAUACUCAACCAAAGCAACAUAUGGAAACAAAUUACAUGCAGAAGAUUUGAGAUGCUAUUUUUCUUCUAUUAAUUGAGACAUUGAAGAAAUUUGCAGAAAAGUAAAAAAGGGGGGGAAGGUAAUUUCCCUUGUUUUCUGCUGAUUUUAUUAGGUUUUUGAUUGCUUAAGAUAAAAUUAAGUCCUAUAAGAGAGUUUAUUCAAAUCUUUAUCUGUACUAAAGCUUCUUUUUGGUGUAUAAUUUUGGUUAAACUACUAUUUUUACAAUAUAUGAUAUUUUAUUAAUAUAAAUAUUCUAACACUUUAAAAAUCUGAUAGCCUGGAUUUAAUGCUGUAAAUUGUGAUUGUUAACAUAUUAUAGAGAUAACUAAAUCGUUUUGCUAAAUUUCUAAGCUAUCUAAAUAUAAAUUUCUAAGUUAUCUAAGUAUAAAUAAAGAAUAUACUAUUUAUAGUCAUAUGAGAUAUCAUGAGCCAUGUCUCUAUAGUUAUAAGGGGCAAUCCCUC